rnacentral:rRNA from 1 species
AGAAGCAAAACAAGUGAUGUGGAGCAAAACUCAAAAAGACGGUCUCAGUUCGGACUGAAGGCUGAAAUUCGCCUUCACGAAGUCGGAAUUGCUAGUAAUGGCAGGUCAGCAUACUGCCGUGAAUACGUUCCCGGGCCUUGUACACACCGCCCGUCACACCAUGAGAGUUAGGAAUACCCGAAGCCUGUGAGCUAACUUUUAGAGGCAGCAGUCGAAGGUAGAACUAAUGAUUGGGGUGAAGUCGUAACAAGGUACC